UAUCCUGAAACAAACAAACAAACAAACAAACAAACAAGAGUUAAACAUCAGCGGCUUCGUCCCCGUAAGCUGUUUGUUCUGACCACUGAAGCUAAUGAGGCAGAAGCCUUUAAUGGACUUGUUUGUCACAGGAGGCCUCAUCGCAGUUGAAACACUGUUUUCACUGCAGCAGGCUAAACAACACUUCCUUUGUGUGGCCGGCCAAACAGGACUAACUUCCCAGAUGCAGCUACUAGUUUGGAGUAUCUCAUGAGGACCCGGAGGAGGCCUUCCUGUCGGACAUGUUCCCACUAAACAGAGCAACAGGAUCUUCCUCAACAAUCAGACCAAACCUUGUAACAAAAACAUUCCAGGAAUUCCAGGUUUUUCACCAUCUGACAGCUGACAUUUCCUUUGCAUAUGUUUACCUCAAGCUUCUGUCCAAUGAAAAUCUGCUUCUUUGUGAAGAAUGAUUGUUACAUUUAUGUGUUUUUCUGAAGGGUACACGUGUUUUAUCUGGGAUUAACAGGUCCAAGCUUUGUGGAUGGAGGUUUCUACAACAGAUACAGACUCAUGUUUGAGUUCCUCAAGAUUAAGUUAUUCUAAAACAAACCCUUCAGUGGAGCCUGAAGUCAAACCAAUCGUCUGCACUCGGGCUGGAUAAUAUGCACGUCUCUGAGUUUGGGAUGAUGUUACAGCUUUCAAAACAUCCUGGAGAAGCACUUUUCCAAAUGUCAGGUUGGGUGGGCAUUCCUAUUUG